UACAUAUAUAAGUGUGCAUGCAUGUAUUGUUUUUAGAACGUUGUACAAGUUUUUAAAUACGUACGUACAUACAUACAUAUAUACAUACGCGAACUUACAGAUUCCAACACAUAUCUACUUCAUUUAUAAAUACCAAUUCAAACAAAACACAAAUUCGUUAUAACUAUAUAUUAGUAUCUAAGUGUAAAAAAAAAAAAAAAAAAAAAAUGGCAAGAGGUAAUUCGUGUGAAAAGGUAAAAGACUGUCGUCAAUUGAUUGGUAAAAAAGCUAUUGAUAAAAAAUAUGAAUGCAGUAAGAAUGUUGGAGAAUGUCGUUUAAAAGAUAAUAUAAAUAGACUAAUGAUAAAUAGUUAUGUAAAAAAAAACGGAGUAAAUGAUAUAAAAAAUUUAAAUAGGAGAGGUAGUGAAAAUAAUAUACAAAGUAUAUAUAAUGAAAAUAUCUAUAAAGAAGACAACAUUAGCAAAGACGAUAAUAUAAAUAACAGUGACAACAAUAACUAUCACAUUAGUAAUACUAAUUACUAUCGCACUAGCUACAAUAAUGAAGAUAAUGACAAUGACUAUUAUAUGAACAAACGCCAUAAAAGCUUACACGAAACUCGAUCCACAAAAGACUAUACAUACUCAGCAUAUUUUAAUAACAAUAAAAACAACAAAGGCAGUAAUAAAUAUACACAAUAUAACAUCAUAACUAGUAUAAGUAAGCAGUUGAAUUAUCAUAUAAGCAAAGGCCCAGGUAAUGAAUCGGUAAAAAAAUUAAUUACACAAGUGAGUUAUUGUCGUUUUUUUACUUUACUAAAAAAUAUCUUAACAUAUCUACCUUUUUCUAUUAACGACUAUUUAGUCGGAACACUCGAAAUAAAAGAAAUAAUUGAUAAUAAAGAUAACUUAUGUUUUAAAUUAUACACAAAAGAAGAAUUAAUGAAAUAUGUGUAUAAUAAUGAGAGAAAUACAUUAGUAAAUAAUAAAGUAUAUAAUUUGUUUGCAAAAUAUAAAUUAUUGAAAAAUAAAAAAGAAUGUAUCAAUCAUUCACAUCUUUCUAAUGAGACUCACAUGAACAACAACAAUAAGAAUAAUAAUGAUAACAAGAAUAAUAAUAAUGACAAGAAUCAUAAUUAUGACAAUACUGAUAAUGAUAUGAAAAAUAUUAACUUGGAAAGCAUA
rnacentral:lncRNA from 1 species